UCAACUUGAUAUGUUAGACUAAAGGCAUGUUUGUUUGUUUUUCAAGACAGGGUUUCUCUGUGUAGUCCUGGCCAUCCUGGAACUCACUCUGUAGACCAGGCUGACUUGGCACUCAGAGAUUCCUCCUUCCUUUGGAGUUCUGGGACUAAAGAAAAGAGCUGAGAUUUCUUGUCUGGAAAGGCAGAAGGAGAGCUCACUCAAUUGGAGACAGGGAGGAUGAGACGGCCCAGCCUUUACAGCUCAGCCAGUGAAGACUCGCUUGCUGCCAAGCCUGGUGACCUGGGUUUGACCUCCAGACCACAAGGAGGAAGGCGAAACCAACUCCCAAAUGUGUUCUGCUCCCACACACUCACACAUGGGUGUGCAUUUCCACGUUGAAAAUCAAAGUAAAUCAAGAACUGAAGGAUACAAGAGCAGUUAAGACCUUGAUGGUAUAGUUUUUGCUGUCUCAUAGUUUCUAGUACUUCCCCUUUAUAGUUCUCCCCACAACGAUCAGCAGCAAUCAGGUACUAAUUAAACAUUGUCCUACUCUUA